CAUUUAAUUUUGGUAAUGAAAUUUUGGGAAGAGUUACUCAUUUACAUCGUGCUGGAAUUCGUCACCGGCGGGCGAACUUUUCGAAAAAAUUGCUACCAAGGGGAGGUUCAAGGAAGAUAGAGCUAGAAAGUAUUUUCAGCAGCUUAUUAAUGCUGUAGAUUAUCUCCAUAGAAGAGGUGUUUACCAUAGGAUCUUAAGCCUGAGAAUUUGCUUCUAGACUCUAAAAGGGUUUGAGUGCU